rnacentral:sRNA from 1 species
GUUUUAAAUAAAGGCCAGAGGUUGGACAGGGAGUUGCUGGCAUGUCCACGCCUUGGCCUAGUAGAAUGCCCACUAACCAUCUUGCUCCAGCAGCUGAAAAGGUCAGAAGUUAAACAUGGUGAAGAGUCCAGUUCCUGGAUUCACAGAGCCCAGCAUGAGGCUCUCUCCCCUGCAGGCUGCAAGGCCAGCCCUUGAGACCGUGUCAGGUAAUAACGUGCUGGGGGACACACAGGUUCCCACCACCCUCCUGUGCUGCUGCAAACCUAGUGAUCCCUGGUAUAUGGGACAGUACCACAAGAAAGCCGAUCUGAUCAUGCCCCAGAACCCACUGAUCGCGUGGACGUAAAACGACUGCUCUUACGGUGUGAAGUAGAGUCAUCCUGUUCAAGGGAAGAAAAAGCUCACUCUUUUAAACCUGUUUCUCUCUGUCUCAGUUAGUAGCUAUUACACCCAAAUCGUUGAGUUUUUAAAAAUUAUUUUAA